CACGUAGGGCGCAAGCGUUGUCCGGAAUUAUUGGGCGUAAAGGGCUCGUAGGCGGUUUGUCGCGUCGGGAGUGAAAUCCAUUGGCUUAACUGGUGGCUUGCUUUCGAUACGGGCAGACUGGAGGUAUGCAGGGGAGAACGGAAUUCCUGGUGUAGCGGUGAAAUGCGCAGAUAUCAGGAGGAACACCGGUGGCGAAGGCGGUUCCCUGGGCAUGUCCUGACGCUGAGGAGCGAAAGUGUGGGGAGCGAACAGG
rnacentral:rRNA from 1 species